rnacentral:rRNA from 1 species
UACGUAGGGUGCAAGCGUUGUCCGGAAUUAUUGGGCGUAAAGAGCUCGUAGGCGGUUUGUCGCGUCGAAUGUGAAAACCCGGGGCUCAACCCCGGGCCUGCAUUCGAUACGGGCAGACUAGAGUUCGGUAGGGGAGUCUGGAAUUCCUGGUGUAGAGGUGAAAUGCGCAGAUAUCAGGAGGAACACCGGUGGCGAAGGCGGUUCUCUGGGCAUGUCCUGACGCUGAGGAGCGAAAGUGUGGGGAGCGAACAGG